CUAAUACAUGCAAGUCGAGCGGACAGAUGGGAGCUUGCUCCCUGAUGUUAGCGGCGGACGGGUGAGUAACACGUGGGUAACCUGCCUGUAAGACUGGGAUAACUCCGGGAAACCGGGGCUAAUACCGGAUGCUUGUUUGAACCGCAUGGUUCAAGCAUAAAAGGUGGCUUCGGCUACCACUUACAGAUGGACCCGCGGCGCAUUAGCUAGUUGGUGAGGUAAUGGCUCACCAAGGCAACGAUGCGUAGCCGACCUGAGAGGGUGAUCGGCCACACUGGGACUGAGACACGGCCCAGACUCCUACGGGAGGCAGCAGUAGGGAAUCUUCCGCAAUGGACGAAAGUCUGACGGAGCAACGCCGCGUGAGUGAUGAAGGUUUUCGGAUCGUAAAGCUCUGUUGUUAGGGAAGAACAAGUACCGUUCGAAUAGGGCGGUACCUUGACGGUACCUAACCAGAAAGCCACGGCUAACUACGUGCCAGCAGCCGCGGUAAUACGUAGGUGGCAAGCGUUGUCCGGAAUUAUUGGGCGUAAAGGGCUCGCAGGCGGUUUCUUAAGUCUGAUGUGAAAGCCCCCGGCUCAACCCGGGGAGGGUCAUUGGAAACUGGGGGAACUUGAGUGCAGAAGAGGAGAGU
rnacentral:rRNA from 1 species